UCGUAAGUCGCCGUUGGCAUCUGCCAGCGGCGGCAAGCUUCGUUCUUCUCACAGGGAGGCAACGGAGUUUCACCAGAAAAAGGAA
rfam:Pseudomonas rhizosphaerae strain DSM 16299, complete genome.